UACGAAGGGGGCUAGCGUUGCUCGGAAUCACUGGGCGUAAAGGGUGCGUAGGCGGGUCUUUAAGUCAGGGGUGAAAUCCUGGAGCUCAACUCCAGAACUGCCUUUGAUACUGAAGAUCUUGAGUUCGGGAGAGGUGAGUGGAACUGCGAGUGUAGAGGUGAAAUUCGUAGAUAUUCGCAAGAACACCAGUGGCGAAGGCGGCUCACUGGCCCGAUACCUGACGCUGAGGCACGAAAGCGCUGGGGAGCAAACAGGG
rnacentral:rRNA from 1 species